rnacentral:rRNA from 1 species
AUUGAACGCUGGCGGCAUGCCUUACACAUGCAAGUCGAACGGUAACGCGGGGCAACCUGGCGACGAGUGGCGAACGGGUGAGUAAUGCAUCGGAACGUGCCCAGUAGUGGGGGAUAGCCCGGCGAAAGCCGGAUUAAUACCGCAUACGACCUACGGGUGAAAGGGGGGGAUCGCAAGACCUCUCGCUAUUGGAGCGGCCGAUGUCAGAUUAGGUAGUUGGUGGGGUAAAGGCCCACCAAGCCGACGAUCUGUAGCUGGUCUGAGAGGACGACCAGCCACACUGGGACUGAGACACGGCCCAGACUCCUACGGGAGGCAGCAGUGGGGAAUUUUGGACAAUGGGCGCAAGCCUGAUCCAGCCAUGCCGCGUGCGGGAAGAAGGCCUUCGGGUUGUAAACCGCUUUUGUCAGGGAAGAAAUCUUUUGAGUUAAUACCUCGGAAGGAUGACGGUACCUGAAGAAUAAGCACCGGCUAACUACGUGCCAGCAGCCGCAGUAACAC